UGAGCUUGAUCCUGGCUCAGGAUGAACGCUAGCGGCAGGCUUAACACAUGCAAGUCGAGGGGUAUGUUUCUUCGGAGACAGAGACCGGCGCACGGGUGCGUAACGCGUAUGCAAUCUGCCUUUUACAGAGGGACAGCCCAGAGAAAUUUGGAUUAAUACCUCAUAGUAUAUAGACCCGGCAUCGGGAUUAUAUUAAAGUCACAACGGUAAAAGAUGAGCAUGCGUCCCAUUAGCUAGUUGGUAAGGUAACGGCUUACCAAGGCGACGAUGGGUAGGGGUCCUGAGAGGGAGAUCCCCCACACUGGUACUGAGACACGGACCAGACUCCUACGGGAGGCAGCAGUGAGGAAUAUUGGACAAUGGGCGCAAGCCUGAUCCAGCCAUGCCGCGUGCAGGAUGACGGUCCUAUGGAUUGUAAACUGCUUUUAUACGAGAAGAAACAUCCCGACGUGUCGGGACUGACGG
rnacentral:rRNA from 2 species